rnacentral:lncRNA from 1 species
AGCUGGCAUUACACCUAUUUUGGUAAACUAUUUCGAGAGCUGGCAUUACAUCAUCUGUUGCGGCUCUUAUUUCAUGCGCCUUCUUGAAAGAGCACAUGUAGAAGAAAAUAUGGUGAAAUAAUAAAGUUUGUAGAGCAAGACAAUGGAUUCCAUCAACUCCAAAGUCUCAAGUUCUCAUGUUUUCUGACCUCAAUAUUAACGUGAGGUGAAUGAAGAUGAUGUCAUGUCUUGUUGCAGGGUGAUUGAGGAGACAUGUCUUGUUGCAGGGUGAUUGAGGAGUAAAUGCAAAGGAACAAAGAGUAACUGAUAAGUGUGUUGUUGUUCAGAUUAGGCAUCUGCGUAGGUACUGUGUGUAGUUGCAACCCCCACUCAUAUGUGUGAAUUUAAUCUACUUCCUUUUCUUCCCGUUCAAAUAUAGGGUAAAAGUAAUGUUUAAUUUUUUUAUUCAACCCAUCAGAUUUUUUUGUUGGAAUCAAGUUCAAGACAUGUCUUUUGCUGAUUGCGCCAGCGGAGCUGCAAGAGUGGUGGACAUGCAACACGGGGAGGUGAAAGAAGGGAGGAUCAGGAAGGAUGGAGGGAGGUGACAAAGCUGAGAGAAAGGAGGGAGACACCAAGGAAUGUGGCAUGGGAAGAAAGUGAAGUUGUGCCCCAAGGCUAUAGCGUGAUCGUGUAGAAUUGUUACCUUUCCAUCAAUGCUAAGGUUCAUUGUCAUUUUUAAAAUCUGGCACUUGAAGAUCCACACAAUUGUUGUCGAGGAAGAUGGUAAACUCAAUGAGGAUGAUAAUUGGGGUUAUUUUGAAGCUCGGUGUUUGGUGGACUACUCUCGCAGUAAAGAGGACAAGGCAUGCAAACAUGAGUAACUGAUAAGUUUGUGUAAUCACUUCCAUUUUUUCUAGGAACAUUGAAUAUAAUUGAUUUUGUAAAAAAGCGGCAGAGAAGAUUGUACUUUUGGACCUUCAGGUGAAGCGGGAAUUAUAUCAUUGUGAUAUCAAAUAAUUGUUCAUUGGUUGUUUGAAUGAGUUGUUGACAUAUGAUUGAUGUAUGAUAAAUGUGCGAUGUGAAGUUUG